rnacentral:rRNA from 1 species
GCCAGACUCCUACGGGAGGCAGCAGUGGGGAAUAUUGCACAAUGGGCGCAAGCCUGAUGCAGCCACGCCGCGUGUAUGAAGAAGGCCUUCGGGUUGUAAAGUACUUUCAGCGGGGAGGAAGGUGUUGAGGUUAAUCAAAACAGCAAUUGACAUUACCCGCAGAAGAACACCCGGCUCAAACCAUGCCAGCAGCCGCGGUAAUACGGAGGGUGCAAGCGUUAAUCGGAAUUACUGGGCGUAAAGCGCACGCAGGCGGUCUGUCAAGUCGGAUGUGAAAUCCCCGGGUGCAACCUGGGAACUGCAUUCGAAACUGGCAGGCUGGAGUCUUGUAGAGGGGGGUAGAAUUCCAGGUGUAGCGGUGAAAUGCGUAG